GAUGAAGAACGUAGCGAAAUGUGAUAAGUAAUGUGAAUUGCAGAAUUCAGUGAAUCAUCGAUUCUUUGAACGCACAUUGCGCCCGCCAGUAUUCUGGCGGGCAUGCCUGUUCGAGCGUCAUUUCAACCAUCAAGCCCCCGGCUUGUGUUGGGGACCUGCGGCUGCCGCAGGCCCUGAAAAGCAGUGGCGGGCUCGCUGUCACACCGAGCGUAGUAGCAUACAUCUCGCUCUGGGCGUGCUGCGGGUUCCGGCCGUUAAACCACCUUCAUAACCCAAGGUUGACCUCGGAUCAGGUAGGAAGACCCGCUGAACUUAAGCAUAUCAAUAAGCGGAGGA
rnacentral:misc_RNA from 1 species